UACGUAGGGUGCAAGCGUUGUCCGGAAUUAUUGGGCGUAAAGAGCUCGUAGGCGGUCUGUCACGUCGGACGUGAAAAUCCAGGGCUCAACCCUGGACCUGCGUUCGAUACGGGCAGACUAGAGUUCGGUAGGGGAGACUGGAAUUCCUGGUGUAGCGGUGAAAUGCGCAGAUAUCAGGAGGAACACCGGUGGCGAAGGCGGAUCUCUGGGCCUUACCUGACGCUCAGGUGCGAAAGCUAGGGGAGCGAACAGG
rnacentral:rRNA from 1 species